rnacentral:rRNA from 1 species
GUGGGGAAUAUUGGACAAUGGGCGAAAGCCUGAUCCAGCCAUGCCGCGUGCAGGAUGAAGGCCUUCGGGUUGUAAACUGCUUUUGUACGGAACGAAAAGACUUCUUCUAAUACAGGAGGUCCAUGACGGUACCGUAAGAAUAAGCACCGGCUAACUACGUGCCAGCAGCCGCGGUAAUACGUAGGGUGCAAGCGUUAAUCGGAAUUACUGGGCGUAAAGCGUGCGCAGGCGGUUAUAUAAGACAGAUGUGAAAUCCCCGGGCUCAACCUGGGAACUGCAUUUGUGACUGUAUAGCUAGAGUACGGUAGAGGGGGAUGGAAUUCCGCGUGUAGCAGUGAAAUGCGUAGAUAUGCGGAGGAACACCGAUGGCGAAGGCAAUCCCCUGGACCUGUACUGACGCUCAUGCACGAAAGCGUGGGGAGCAAACAGGAUUAGAUACCCUGGUAGUCC